GUGCUCGCUUCAGCACAUAAACUAAAAUUGGAACAAUACAGAGAAGAUUACCAUGGCCCCUGCAUAAGGAUGACACACAAAUUCAUGAAGCAUUUCAUAUUUAA